CUGUUACUCACCUCAAAAACUCAAUAACUGCCAUGCCCACUGAUGAACUGUCCGUGUGCCUGCUAGCUAGAAGGAUGAGUGAUGUCCACUCUGCACGGAGCUGCGACAGUACGUGAUUAUGAUGGGCAGGAGGGAUGACAAGACCCCGGCCAAUUGGCCCAGCGUCAUCCGGGUUUGGCCGUCAUUGUAAAUAACAAUUUGUUCUUAAAACUGCCUAGUUAAAAAAAAAAAAAAAAGUUCCCUUUUGAAUUUCAAAAAUAUUUAUAUAAACCUAACACGGAAGCUAGUAAAACUGUUGCAAUUAUACUUACGUCGCUGUUUACUCCUAGCUUUUUCGCCGGUUGACUGACGUUCGUUGGCUUGCUAGAGAGAGAAAUUCAUCUCGGAUCUAAUUCGCUAGUUUUAGAUUUGGUGCGUAACUACUUCCAGUCUUUGUCGAUCCUGUGCAGACAACCCUUCCAAAUGGCCCUAUGGCUACAUCUACUUGGUUGAAUCUCCAGGUUUACACAGAUUAAUCCUGCUGCUAAUGAAGAUGACCUUGACACCAGCUUUAGUAAUAAAGAGCCUGUAGACCCAUUGGAUGAAAGCUUUCAGCCGGGAACAAGCUCAAGCGCAACAACAUCUGACUCAGAAACAAGCCAGGACAGCCAAAGGAGACUUACAAUACAAACAAAUAUUCUGCAAGAGGUCAAAGCAGUGGGUGGUGAAGAAAGUGUAGAAGCCCAGCCCGGUCAGCUGAGAAGGCACUACAGAGUUGGUAAAUAUUAGCAAUUGAAAUGCUAAUCCUUUGCACAUGAACGCUCACUCAUUCGGGAACAAUUGCAAUCAAUAUAUAUAUUUACGCUCACUGUGUCGUCGGGAUCUUUGUUGGAAAGGUCGUUCUGUUGGAGAGUUCUCUCUCUCAUAGAGAGCCCUUGGUUCUCUAUGGUACAGUAGGUCAGGGAGUGACUAGGGGGUGUUCUAGGUUUAUUAUUUCUAUGUUGGUGUGCUUGGUAUGGUUCCCAAUUAGAGGCAGCUGGUAAUCGUUGCCUCUAAUUGGGGAUCAUAUUUAGGUAGCCUUUUUCCCACCUGUGUUUUUGUGGGAUAUUGUUUUGAGUUAAGUGCAUGUAGCACCUCUGAUGUCACGGUUCGUUGAUUGUUUACUUGUUUUGUUUGAGAAGUUCGCAC
rnacentral:lncRNA from 1 species